GGUUCUGUGGUGUAAUGGUUAGCACUUUGGACUUUGAAUCCGAGGAUCCGAGUUCAAAUCUCGGCAGGACCU
rnacentral:tRNA from 1 species